CUUCAGUCGUGUGCUCAAGGACGGCGCCGAGAUGGAGUUCGCCCCUCGGUCCUCGGCGAAGAAGGUCGGCGGAGCUUCCCGGGAACACCGUCGCCUCCACCAUCUACAUCGACGGCGUCUCCUUCAGCGACAACGGCCACUACGUCUGCUACAUCCCCGGCGCCUCCAAGGACAUCCUUAAUCCAAUAUCGAAGGUCGACCUCCAAGGUUAUUAGGGGUAACAGGAGGAAACUUUUUCGAGGACGAGCCACUCACACUCCGCUGUUCCACGCAAUACGCCAAGCAUAAUCAGAGACCGCCCGUCACGUGGAACUUCGAGGGCCUGCCGCUGGACCCCCGCGGGUACGAGUCCCGGGUCGAGCAGAACGAGUACAACGUGACGGUCCACGAGCUGGUCAUCCCCGUGGGGAGGUCCCACCACUCGGGCUCCUACGAGUGCGUGACGGC